GUGCAAUAAGAGGAAGAAAUACUGCAACAAAAUGUUGUUCCAAAUAGGAUUCAAGGAAGCUAGAAGUGCACCCAGGUCAAGAUAUUAAAAGAAGAAGGUCCCAGUGUCCUUACAGAGCAAUCACAGAGGAGUCCCAGAGAUGUUUCUGCGUCUCCUGUUUCUGGAGGAUUUACAAGGAAGUGGGAGGGUCCAUCAGCACAACCCUCGCCCCCACCUGGCUCAUCCGAGGUGAGUGCUGUGGAGGGAGGAGAGCAAGACGCCAAAGUGGUGUUUAAAAGUGGAGAGAGGGAGGUUUGAGGGGGCUUUGACAGGUAUGCAAUCCAUUGUCCAAGGGGCCCUGAGAGUUUGUGUUCUCUGCAGCAGGGUGCCCCUUAGCAAACACCACCGGCUCUCUGUUCCUGUCCCAGCUGCUUUGUGCUGUGCCUCAUAAGCGCAGAGAGUUGGCCGUAUAGGGCGCUUUGGAGCCUGAAAGCGCUGGGUUCAAUUCAGGCUCUGCCACUUUCAAGCUCUGCAUUUCUGGACAUGUCUGAACCUCAGUUUUCUUGUCUGUAAAAUGAGGGCAGCCAUGCCUACCUUACAGGAUUUUGGUGAAGGUUAAAUGAGAUAUCACAUAGGUAAAGCCCC
rnacentral:lncRNA from 1 species